AAGUCGUAACAAGGUCUCCGUUGGUGAACCAGCGGAGGGAUCAUUACAGAGUUGCAAAGCUCCCGAACCCCUGUGAACUUACCUAUUGUAGUUGCUUCGACGGGUGGCUUCAGGCGGAGCCGCCUGCUUCUGUUCGCAGAGGUACCCGUCAGAAGCCCACAAAACUCUUUGUGCUUUAGUGGCAUGUAUGAGCAAAAGAAAAUUAAUGAGUCAAAACUUUCAACAACGGAUCUCUUGGUUCUGGCAUCGAUGAAGAACGCAGCGAAAUGCGAUAUGUAAUGUGAAUUGCAGACUUCAGUGAAUCAUCGAAUCUUUGAACGCACAUUGCGCCCGCUAGUAAUCUGGUGGGCAUGCCUGUUCGAGCGUCAUUUCAAACCUCAAGCCCUGCUUGGUGUUGGGUUUCUACGGCUCCUGUAGGCUCCAAAAACCAGUGGCGGGCUCGCUAUAAGUCCGAGCGCAGUACAUGUAUCUCGCUUGGGAAGUGUAGCGGGCUCCAGCCGCAACCCCCCCCAAACUUACACCACAAGGUUGACCUCGGAUCAGGUAGGAAUACCCGCUGAACUUAAGCAUAUCAAUAAGCGGAGGAAAAGAAACCAACAGGGAUUGCCCUAGUAACGGCGAGUGAAGCGGCAACAGCUCAAAUUUGAAAUCUGGCUUCAGCCCGAGUUGUAAUUUGUAGAGGAAGCUUUUGGUGAGGUGCCUCCUGAGUUCCCUGGAACGGGACGCCACAGAGGGUGAGAGCCCCGUAUAGCUGGACACCAAGCCUUUGCAAAGCCCCUUCGACGAGUCGAGUAGUUUGGGAAUGCUGCUCAAAAUGGGAGGUAUAUCUCUUCUAAAGCUAAAUACCGGCCAGAGACCGAUAGCGCACAAGUAGAGUGAUCGAAAGAUGAAAAGCACUUUGAAAAGAGGGUUAAAUAGCACGUGAAAUUGUUGAAAGGGAAGCGCCUAUGACCAGACUUGUGCUAGGCUUGAUCAUCCAGUGGUUUCACUGGUGCACUCUGCCUGGCUCAGGCCAGCGUCGGUUUCGGUAGGGGGAAAAAAGCUUAGGGAACGUGGCUCUUCCGGGAGUGUUAUAGCCCUCUGCGCAAUACCCUUACAGAGACCGAGGUUCGCGCUCUGCAAGGACGCUGGCGUAAUGGUCAUCAGCGACC
rnacentral:rRNA from 1 species